rnacentral:misc_RNA from 1 species
ACGAGUUUUAAUUGUUAGGUUAGAGUUGAGCUGGUUAAUCUAAUUAAUAUGUGCUUACUCUAAUCGAAACAAGUCCACAUCAUUACUUAACACUUGUGAACUUAUUCAUUAAACAAAAACAUUAUUAUUUGUUAUUGGAAUGUUUGAUUAUUAAAAAGUUAAUA